rnacentral:rRNA from 1 species
GUGGGGAAUAUUGGACAAUGGGCGAAAGCCUGAUCCAGCCAUGCCGCGUGUGUGAAGAAGGUCUUCGGAUUGUAAAGCACUUUAAGUUGGGAGGAAGGGCAGUAAGUUAAUACCUUGCUGUUUUGACGUUACCAACAGAAUAAGCACCGGCUAACUUCGUGCCAGCAGCCGCGGUAAUACGAAGGGUGCAAGCGUUAAUCGGAAUUACUGGGCGUAAAGCGCGCGUAGGUGGUUCAGCAAGUUGAAGGUGAAAUCCCCGGGCUCAAGCUGGGAACUGCCUCCAAAACUACUGAGCUAGAGUACGGUAGAGGGUAGUGGAAUUUCCUGUGUAGCGGUGAAAUGCGUAGAUAUAGGAAGGAACACCAGUGGCGAAGGCGACUACCUGGACUGAUACUGACACUGAGGUGCGAAAGCGUGGGGAGCAAACAGGAUUAGAAACCCCGGUAGUCC